rnacentral:rRNA from 1 species
AUAUGAAUAAGGAUCGGCUAACUCCGUGCCAGCAGCCGCGGUAAUACGGAGGAUCCGAGCGUUAUCCGGAUUUAUUGGGUUUAAAGGGAGCGUAGGUGGACUGGUAAGUCAGUUGUGAAAGUUUGCGGCUCAACCGUAAAAUUGCAGUUGAUACUGUCAGUCUUGAGUACAGUAGAGGUGGGCGGAAUUCGUGGUGUAGCGGUGAAAUGCUUAGAUAUCACGAAGAACUCCGAUUGCGAAGGCAGCUCACUGGACUGCAACUGACACUGAUGCUCGAAAGUGUGGGUAUCAAACAGGAUUAGAUACCCUGGUAGUCCACACAGUAAACGAUGAAUACUCGCUGUUUGCGAUAUACAGUAAGCGGCCAAGCGAAAGCAUUAAGUAUUCCACCUGGGGAGUACGCCGGCAACGGUGAAACUCAAAGGAAUUGACGGGGGCCCGCACAAGCGGAGGAACAUGUGGUUUAAUUCGAUGAUACGCGAGGAACCUUACCCGGGCUUAAAUUGCAGUGGAAUGAUGUGGAAACAUGUCAGUGAGCAAUCACCGCUGUGAAGGUGCUGCAUGGUUGUCGUCAGCUCGUGCCGUGAGGUGUCGGCUUAAGUGCCAUAACGAGCGCAACCCUUAUCUUUAGUUACUAACAGGUCAUGCUGAGGACUCUAGAGAGACUGCCGUCGUAAGAUGUGAGGAAGGUGGGGAUGACGUCAAAUCAGCACGGCCCUUACGUCCGGGGCUACACACGUGUUACAAUGGGGGGUACAGAAGGCAGCUAGCGGGUGACCGUAUGCUAAUCCCAAAAUCCUCUCUCAGUUCGGAUCGAAGUCUGCAACCCGACUUCGUGAAGCUGGAUUCGCUAGUAAUCGCGCAUCAGCCACGGCGCGGUGAAUACGUUCCCGGGCCUUGUACACACCGCCCGUCAAGCCAUGGGAGCCGGGGGUACCUGAAGUACGUAACCGCAAGGAUCGUCCUAGGGUAAAACUGGUGACUGGGGCUAAGUCGUAACAAGGUAGCCGUACCGGAAGGUGCGGCUG